rnacentral:rRNA from 1 species
GAUGAACGCUAGCGGGAGGCCUAACACAUGCAAGCCGAGCGGUAGAGUCUCUUCGGAGACUUGAGAGCGGCGCACGGGUGCGGAACACGUGUGCAACCUGCCUUUAUCUGGGGGAUAGCCUUUCGAAGGGAAGAUUAAUACCCCAUAAUAUACUGGAUGGCAUCAUCUGGUAUUGAAAACUCCGGUGGAUAGAGAUGGGCACGCGCAAGAUUAGAUAGUUGGUGAGGUAACGGCUCACCAAGUCAGCGAUCUUUAGGGGGCCUGAGAGGGUGAUCCCCCACACUGGUACUGAGACACGGACCAGACUCCUACGGGAGGCAGCAGUGAGGAAUAUUGGACAAUGGGUGAGAGCCUGAUCCAGCCAGCCCGCGUGAAGGACGACGGCCCUAUGGGUUGUAAACUUCUUUUGUAUAGGGAUAAACCUAGAUACGUGUAUCUAGCUGAAGGUACUAUACGAAUAAGCACCGGCGAACUCCGU